UGGGGAAUAUUGGACAAUGGGCGAAAGCCUGAUCCAGCCAUGCCGCGUGUGUGAAGAAGGUCUUCGGAUUGUAAAGCACUUUAAGUUGGGAGGAAGGGCAGUAAGCGAAUACCUUGCUGUUUUGACGUUACCGACAGAAUAAGCACCGGCUAACUCUGUGCCAGCAGCCGCGGUAAUACAGAGGGUGCAAGCGUUAAUCGGAAUUACUGGGCGUAAAGCGCGCGUAGGUGGUUCGUUAAGUUGAAUGUGAAAGCCCCGGGCUCAACCUGGGAACUGCAUCCAAAACUGGCGAGCUAGAGUAGGGCAGAGGGUGGUGGAAUUUCCUGUGUAGCGGUGAAAUGCGUAGAUAUAGGAAGGAACACCAGUGGCGAAGGCGACCACCUGGUCUCAUACUGACACUGAGGUGCGAAAGCGUGGGGAGCAAACAGG
rnacentral:rRNA from 1 species